rnacentral:rRNA from 1 species
AUUGAACGCUGGCGGCAGGCCUAACACAUGCAAGUCGAACGGUAACAGGAAGAAGCUUGCUUCUUUGCUGACGAGUGGCGGACGGGUGAGUAAUGUCUGGGAAACUGCCUGAUGGAGGGGGAUAACUACUGGAAACGGUAGCUAAUACCGCAUAAUGUCGCAAGACCAAAGAGGGGGACCUUCGGGCCUCUUGCCAUCGGAUGUGCCCAGAUGGGAUUAGCUAGUAGGUGGGGUAACGGCUCACCUAGGCGACGAUCCCUAGUUGGUCUGAGAGGAUGACCAGCCACACUGGAACUGAGACACGGUCCAGACUCCUACGGGAGGCAGCAGUGGGGAAUAUUGCACAAUGGGCGCAAGCCUGAUGCAGCUAUGCCGCGUGUAUGAAGAAGGCCUUCGGGUUGUAAAGUACUUUCAGCGGGGAGGAAGGGAGUAAAGUUAAUACCUUUGCUCAUUGACGUUACCCGCAGAAGAAGCACCGGCUAACUCCGUG